rnacentral:rRNA from 1 species
CUUAGUGGCGGACGGGUGAGUAACACGUGAGCAACCUGCCUUUCAGAGGGGGAUAACGUUUGGAAACGAACGCUAAUACCGCAUAAAAUAUCGGAGUCGCAUGGCACUGAUAUCAAAGGAGUAAUCCGCUGAAAGAUGGGCUCGCGUCCGAUUAGGCAGUUGGCGGGGUAACGGCCCACCAAACCGACAAUCGGUAGCCGGACUGAGAGGUUGAACGGCCACAUUGGGACUGAGACACGGCCCAGACUCCUACGGGAGGCAGCAG